rnacentral:lncRNA from 1 species
GUUGUGUUGACUUGUCCCUGCAGUCAUCUGACAGAACAAAUUCUGCUUUUCCCCUCAACAAGCUGAAAAUAUAUUUCACUUGGAGGAAGAAGAUGCAUUGACAGUUGCCACUUUGUCCCCCACAUCCUUUCCACCCCAAGACAAGCUGUUCUUCUGGCAAGAGAUGUCCUUGCUAGUGUAAAGGACUAAGAGAAGAUCCUGAGGCAGAAGUGAGUGUGUGACUGCAUUGCUGCAUCUGUCACAGUACCAGGCAGGCAGCUACUCUGCCUUGAGGGAGGCAGGUAAAGCCAUCACUUUGUUGCCCUUCCUGCAGAGAUACACUUUGUUUCCUAGCAUCUAGAAAGAAAUGACAAGAUCACUGGAUGUUUUGUAGAUAAUCAUAGGUGUGUCUGUGUAGCCUUUCAGCCUCUCUCCCACUGUCCAUGCAGGAUUUGGAAGGGAUACACAACACAUCUCCACCUUUUUUAUUUUUUAUUUACUUUUAAUUAUCUUUUUAUAAUUUGCAUUUUUCCCAAAGACACAAUCAAGCACACUCCAGUAGAGAAGGAAGGAAAGAUAAUCUUCUCCUGACUUCAUGGGCAACAGUGUAGGCUCUACUUGACCAGGAAACAGAGAUGCUGGCCCUGUAUGCUCAACCAGUUGUUGGAGCCUUCAUGCCAUAUAUCAAAAAGAGCCCCAGGCCCUGUGGUGCUGGAGUUGAUGUUCUGCCAAGCAGAGGACCACUAACAGUGCCAGACAGACAGGGUGGUUGUCCUUGGCAGCAGAGCUACAGCCUGCCUUUCUGACCCAUGAGCAGCUUACAAAAAUGUGACCAAGAACCAUAAAAAUAGGUAUGUCAGAAAGCCAAGGAGGAAGAAGGUUGGGGGACAGUGAGAUGAAUCACAGCAUAAUCACAGCAUCACCAAAUAGAUGAGGUG